AUUGAACGCUGGCGGCAUGCCUUACACAUGCAAGUCGAACGGCAGCACGGGAGCAAUCCUGGUGGCGAGUGGCGAACGGGUGAGUAAUAUAUCGGAACGUGCCCAGUCGUGGGGGAUAACGUAGCGAAAGCUACGCUAAUACCGCAUACGAUCUAUGGAUGAAAGCGGGGGAUCGCAAGACCUCGCGCGAUUGGAGCGGCCGAUAUCAGAUUAGGUAGUUGGUGAGGUAAAGGUUCACCAAGCCGACGAUCUGUAGCUGGUCUGAGAGGACGACCAGCCACACUGGGACUGGGACACGGCCCAGACUCCUACGGGAGGCAGCAGUGGGGAAUUUUGGACAAUGGGCGCAAGCCUGAUCCAGCAAUGCCGCGUGCAGGAUGAAGGCCUUCGGGUUGUAAACUGCUUUUGUACGGAGCGAAAAGGCUUCCACUAAUACUGGGGGCUCAUGACGGUACCGUAAGAAUAAGCACCGGCUAACUACGUGCCAGCCGCCGCGGUAA
rnacentral:rRNA from 1 species